AUGAAGCCACAGACCAGAGCAGAGCAGAGCAGAAAGGGGUUCUUGCCUGAAUAUUUGAAUAGGAUUAAUGAAAACAUAUCUCCCUGUUCCCCUUUACAGUCCUCAUGGAAAUCCGCUCCGUCCACUGCCUCAGGUGUUCUUCAGUGGUCCAUGUCUUGUAGAAUCUGGUGAAUCUACAACCAGGUAAAGGCCUCAGAGCAGAGGGGAAGCAAAGGGAAUCGAGAGACUUUAAUGCACCAGGCGCUGUUUCACGACGAGUUUAUUUCUCAUUCGUCUUCAUCAGGAUUUCAAGAUUGGAGUGUUGAAUGGACCGCUCACUGACAACUGAUGGGAAGAUCAGUGAUCAAAGAUGGGAGCUAUUUGGAAAGGGGAUGUGCUCUGCUAGGGGGGCUGAUGGGGAAAGGAAGCGGGAACGCCAGGCCCUCAAAGAGAUGUGAUUUAAGCUAAAAGCUCAAGAAGCUGCUGUGGGGGAAGGAGGACAAUGGCUUCCAUCUCCUCAUGGAGGCUGCAUCCCACGUCCAUCCGGGAAAGUGCAGGCAGCCUCUUCAGAAAUGUGGAGUAGUAGCCAAGUGGUGCUCUUGAGUAGCCAAGUGGUGCCAGUUGCGGGAGGCUUCUCCCAUUUUAGCUCAGCUCUGUCUGAGGAGAGAGAACAUUUGUCACUGAAACAAACUGUGUGAGGAAGUCAUGGCCUUUGCGAAGAGACUGAGUGUUCAGAACGUGAUUCCUCUGGCUCGGUCAUUGUCAUUUGCCGGAAGUUUGUUUCGUGGACAUAUUUUCCUAGCCUCAACGAAUUCAGGCCUUUCUGUCGAGUUUCAAUCGAGAAGUGAGGAUUAUGGAGAUUUUUUGGCUUUUCAAUUCAUAGACUACACAGGAGGCCGAUGAAGAUAUUAAUUCCAUUCACAUGCUUUUAUCACUCCCUUCUCGUCUUAGCCUCCUCCCUCAGAGUUUCCUGAUUCGUUCCAGAAACAACAGUAUAGACAUUGUCAGAUUCUAUACUUGACUUUGAACUGACCCACAGUUAAGCUUGAAGGAACAUGAAAGUCUCUUGUUGGUGGAUAGUGCUGGAGAAGUCUAAACAGAGAUGUCUGUGGCCAGGAAGAAUGCCUCGUGGGGACACUUUGGAAGACCAGCAUAUGCUCAGACAAAAUGAGGAACGCUUCACUGGAGAGAGCCACUGACUGAGCCUCUAACUUUGAGUUCUAAUUCUGUCCUCCUAUUUAAGAUGAAAUGAGGCUCUGAAUAAGAAUCCUGCUCUUCUGGAAUCUCAAAAUAUUAAAGCAGAGAAGAACCUGAAUCCUGUCUAAAGCAGCCCUUUCAUUUUCCGGGUCAGGAACAUGGAAGAUCGCAGCGGUACAGGGACUUGCCUGCUGUCACAGAGCUGCGUUAGGACAGAGACGGAAGCAGCCUGAGAUUCUCCCGAUACCCAGGUCACUUCUUUCUGGUGACAAAGAUUCUUUCCUUGACCAAACUUUACUCAGGCUCCUCUGACCUCUGUUCUCAAGUAGAUCUUGACUUUUGGGCUUCCGUGUUUGUUUCUGCAUGUCCAGCUUUAGUGAGAAAUCCUGCUAAGUUGGUUUACACAGAAUCCCCCACUCUUGAUGUCUGAUCGCCCUUGAUACCCGGUCAGAUCACCUGCAGGUGCCAGCUGGUCAACCUGGCCUACCUGUCUUCAGCAAAACUCUUGUCAGGUCGGUUUUGCCAGUAUCCUUCAUGACCCCUCUUAGGGAGGUUUUUUCUUAAUAAUUUUUUUUUCUUUUAAAGUAGGCUCUAUGCCCAGGGUAGAACUCAACAUAGGACUUGAACU